GAGCAACUGGUGAGAGGACGGAGGCUAACCGCCACCAAGCAACUGGACGUUUCAGGGAGGAUGAGAAACUCUGAGCUGAAGCUGCUCUGGGGACAUCGGCUGAUUCCACAUUUAUCCAGGGAGUCUGUUUGAGCCAGAUCAUGGAAACAUUCAGCAGAACCAGCUGCUAACACAAACUGCAGCUUUGACAGUAUCAGUGCGAUUCACCUAAAGACAGCUGUCCACGUAUAUUCAGAGUCUUUAAAAUGACUUCAUAAAACAUAGUAAAAAGGAGUCAUGCAUGUUUUAUGAUGCACCACCUGGAUGGCUGUGUUUAUUCAGCGAACCAGCAGGAAGUUCACAGUUUUAGAGCCAAGRACUGACUUUAUGCCAUCUAGAUCUGACUUUAUGUAUCAAAAUAGAUGCACUUCAAAUGUU